AUUUAAGGCAGGAGCUGUUAGGGAGAGAAGACAGUAAUCUUAUGGGUCAUUCCUAGGAUCAUGGGUCAUUCUCUAAUUCUUUGAAAUUAUGUGUACUCGAUAGACUGAUAUUUGUUGUACUUUUUAUCAGAUUAAAUAACGUUCCAUAUAAGCAGAAUAAGUAGGAAUGCAUUUUCUUUUAUUUAUGUGAUUAUUUUUCUACUUAAGUAAUCUUCAAGUUGGGUCUAGUCUCUAAAAGUAUUAUUUAAAUGUCACAUUUAGUAAGCUGUAUAACAUUCCUAUGAUAAUCUCUUGCUUAACUUAAAGAUAAAUAAUAUUUGACUUAUUUCAGAUGUGGCAGGAGUUGGACAGGAGUAUAACUAGAGAACUAAGAGAAGCUGCUGCUGAAUUUGAAUCUGAGUCCUAUGGAUUGUCUCCUCUAGGAGCUACAGAUGGGUCAACUCUGUCUGAGGACCUGCUUUUGAAAACGUCACAAGAAUAUGUACAGAUUUGGAAGAAAAAAAAAUAUGAUCUGAAAGAUAAAUAGUAAAAAUUUCCCUUCUUGACUGUUUUCAUGACAUUUUAGUUGUUUCUCAUUCAACAUGAUGAGAUAAUCUUUAUUAAAGGGAAAUCUUUUUUGUGUGUAUGAUGAAAAUUUAUAUGGUAUUUUAAAAAUACUACUUUUAAGUAGUAUUAGUACUACUUUUAAACAGUAGUAUCCAAGUACUUUUGGUACUAAGUAUUUUCUCUGCAGCUAACUUAAGCGAUUUAAAAACCAGCACUGUUAAGUUUUCCAUAUUCAAAGUGAAAGUGUUAGUCACUCAGUCGUGUCUGACUCUGUGACCAAUGGACUGCAGCCUGCCAGUCUCCUCUGUCCUCCACUAUCUUGUGGGGUUAGCUCAAAUUCAUGCCUAUUGAGUUGGUGAUGCUAUCCAACCCUCUCGUCCUCUGUCGCCCCCUUUCUCUUUCUGCCUUCCAUCUUUCGCAGCAUAAGGGUCUUUUCCGAUGAGUCGGCUCUUCACAUCAAGUGGCUGAAGUAUUGGAGCUUCAGCCUCAACAUCAGUCCUUCCAGUGAGUAUUCAGGAUUGAUUUCCUUUAGGAUUGACUGGUUUAAUCUCCUUGCAGUGCGAGGACUCUCGAGAGUCUACUCCCAACACCACAGUUCAAAAGCAUGAAUUCUUUGGCAGUCAGCCUUCUUUAUUGUACAACUCUCAUAUCCGCACAUGACUACUAGAAAAUAGUGUAUAUAUGUUAAUCCCAAUCUCCUAAUUUAUCCUUCCCCUCAUGUUUCCCCUUUCAUAACCAUAAUUUGAUUUUGAGAUCUUUUUGACUUGGUUUGUAUAAAUAAGCUUAUUUUUAUUAAAUUCCACAUGUAAGUGAUGUGAUACUUGUUUUUCUCUGAGUUACUUCAGUUAGUAUUGUAAUUUCGAGAUCCAUCUGUGUUGCUGCAAAUGGCAUUAUUAUUUCUUUUUAUGGCCAAGUAAUAUUCCAUUUUUGUUGUGUGUGUGUGUGUGUGUGUGUGUGUACACCGCAUCUUCUUUAUCCAU
rnacentral:lncRNA from 1 species